CGGAGGAAAAGAAACCAACAGGGAUUGCCUCAGUAACGGCGAGUGAAGCGGCAAAAGCUCAAAUUUGAAAUCCCCCGGGAAUUGUAAUUUGAAGGACCUAUUAAAACCCUGAGAGAGCCCAAAGUCCAUUGGAAAAUGGCGCCAUAGAAGGUGAUAGCCCUGUGUGGACCUCUCUCAGCAUACUUUUUAGGCCCAAAGAGUCGAGUUGUUUGGGAAUGCAGCUCUAAGUGGGUGGUAAAUUCCAUCUAAAGCUAAAUAUUGGCGAGAGACCGAUAGCGAACAAGUACAGUGAUGGAAAGAUGAAAAGCACUUUGAAAAGAGAGUGAAAAAGUACGUGAAAUUGUUGAAAGGGAAGGGCUUGCAAGCAGACACAACCUCGGUUGGGCCAGCAUCGGGGCGGGGGGAAACAAAAAAGGUGUGGAAUGUGGCUCUUACGAGUGUUAUAGCCCCACCCAAUAUUUCCAUCCCAUCCCGAGGCCUGCGAUUCUUCAAGGAUGCUGGCGUAAUGGUUGCAAGUCGCCCGUCUUGACCCACGGAC
rnacentral:rRNA from 1 species